rnacentral:rRNA from 1 species
CCAACGACCGUACCGCAAACCGACACUGGUGCGCGAGAUGAGUAUUCUAAGGCGCUUGAGAGAACUCAGGAGAAGGAACUCGGCAAAUUGACACCGUAACUUCGGAAGAAGGUGUGCCCUAUUAGUGUGAAGUGAACAACGGAGCAUGAAUGGGUUGCAAAAAAUCGGUGGCUGCGACUGUUUAUUAAAAACACAGCACUCUGCAAACACGAAAGUGGACGUAUAGGGUGUGACGCCUGCCCGGUGCUGGAAGAUUAAAUGAUGGGGUGCAAGCCCUUGAUUGAAGUCCCAGUAAACGGCGGCCGUAACAAUAACGGUCCUAAGGUAGCGAAAUUCCUUGUCGGGUAAGUUCCGACCUGCACGAAUGGCGUAACGAUGGCCACACUGUCUCCUCCUGAGACUCAGCGAAGUUGAAAUGUUUGUGAUGAUGCAAUCUCCCCGCGGAAAGACGGAAAGACCCCAUGAACCUUUACUGUAGCUUUGUAUUGGACUUUGAACAGAUCUGUGUAGGAUAGGUGGGAGGCUUUGAAGCAGGGUCGCUAGAUCUUGUGGAGCCAACGUUGAAAUACCACCCUGGUGUGUUUGAGGUUCUAACCUAGGUCCAUUAUCCGGAUCGGGGACAGUGCAUGGUAGGCAGUUUGACUGGGGCGGUCUCCUCCCAAAGCGUAACGGAGGAGUUCGAAGGUACGCUAGUUACGGUCGGACAUCGUGACGAUAGUGCAAUGGCAUAAGCGUGCUUAACUGCGAGACUGACAAGUCGAGCAGAUGCGAAAGCAGGACAUAGUGAUCCGGUGGUUCUGUAUGGAAGGGCCAUCGCUCAACGGAUAAAAGGUACUCUGGGGAUAACAGGCUGAUACCGCCCAAGAGUUCAUAUCGACGGCGGUGUUUGGCACCUCGAUGUCGGCUCAUCUCAUCCUGGGGCUGUAGCCGGUCCCAAGGGUAUGGCUGUUCGCCAUUUAAAGAGGUACGUGAGCUGGGUUUAAAACGUCGUGAGACAGUUUGGUCCCUAUCUUCCGUGGGCGCUGCAGAUUUGAGGAAGCCUGCUCCUAGUACGAGAGGACCGGAGUGGACACACCUCUGGUGUAUCGGUUGUCACGCCAGUGGCAUUGCCGAGUAGCUAAGUGUGGAAGAGAUAACCGCUGAAAGCAUCUAAGCGGGAAACUCGUUUCAAGAUGAGAUCUGCCGGGGCCUUGAGCCCCCUGAAGAGUCGUUCAAGACCAGGACGUUGAUAGGUCAGGUGUGGAAGCGCAGUAAUGCGUUAAGCUAACUGAUACUAAUUGCUCGUGCGGCUUGACC